CUGGUCGUACGUCGUCGCCAUUUUUAUAAAAAAGUCCCUUUGCUUUUCGAAAAUAGAACCCGCAGUCCUUUCUUUAGUGAAUCUGGAAAAACGCUUCGGUUUUACAAAAAAGACCCUACGUUUGUUUGAUAUUCAGUCCGCGGUCCCUGAUUCAUCUUAUCCAAAACUCCUCCCUUUCCAGCGACGGCAGCGAUGGCGGAGCACGAGCAGGUGAGGGCGGCGCCUUCGUCGGACGGCUAGCCGCGGCGGAGGAGAAGGCGGACGCCAUGGGUGCGGCUACAGACGAGGCGGAGGAGAAGGCGGACGCCGUGGGCUUGCUGCACGGCUACAGCCGAGGCGGAGGAGAAGGCGGACGCCGUGGGUGUUCAUGGAGGAUGGUACGCCGGCCGCGUCAAGUCCCCUGCCCCCGGCCGCCAGCGCCUGUUCUCGGCCUCCAUCGCCCGGAGGCGUGCCCCUGCUGUCGGCCUUCGCGUCUGCUUCGUCUGCAUCACGCCAGCGCCGCCCUCGUCGUCGCGGCGUUCUUCUGCUUCCGGCGUUGCCCCGUCGCCCAUGCGCCGAGUUCUGCUGCGGCCUCUGUUCUUCCGCAACGAGUAGCAGCAGGUCGUCUGCGGUUGCGGCAGCGGUGUAGGCGAGCGAGGCAGAGGAGCGGUCAACACCGGCGUCGAGGGCAAGGUAGGCCGGGCGCAGUGUCCUCCGGCAUGUGGUGGCGCAUUUGUACGGCGCAGGAGGCUGGGCGCGUCGAUUCGGGUGAGGGGAGUGGGGUCCAGAUCUGGUCGAGGACGGGGCAACCGGCGGCGGCGGCGUGGCUGACGCUGGAUGGAGAGAGAGGCAGAGCAAGGCACGCCGAAUCGCUGGAUGGCGCACCUCCCCUAGCCUCCUUCCUCUCCCGGUCGUUGGGGAAGCAGGACGGCCACCUCUGCUGGACGCCCUUCCCUGGUCGACGACGAGCGAUGCGGGCUGACACGGUGGCGCCCUUCCGUUGUGGAGUACCGUACUAGGACGACGGCGGUUAAGGUCAACGCCCUGCUCGACGCCCCCAUCUGCUGCUCGAUGCGCCCAUCCCCUCGCUGGUUGAGCUCAACGCCACCUUGCUCUGCCUCCGGCAGUCAUUUCAUCCAAUCUGGCUGGUCCGCUCCCCACCUCGGCGGCUCCUUCAGUCCGGCAGCACACCACGCUCAAGCCUCCACCACCCCAACUCCUCAAGUUACAGUAGACAAGGAGCUCCGCUCUACCUCUCAUCUCUCUCCCUGUCCUGGUGGUCACGGGCUGAUGUUGCUGCUCCUCUCCUUCAGGAUCUAUCUCUUUCUCUUUGUCUCUCACCCUCUCAUGGAUUGACAACUGCAUUCUUCCCAAAUUAAUGUGUGCCUCUGUUCUUGAUAUUACGCCCACACCAUGUUUGAUGUUAUGCUUAUGAGGAGUUGAACUUCAUUUUUUUUCAGGCUUUUCUUUGGUGUAUCAGGCAUUCAGGCUGGUGUAAUUUGUUUUCAGAAGUGAACAUGUUGUACAGUCCAAUGUAUCUACAAAUAUUAAGUUAUGCAGAACUACAGAACUAUUAGCAGCUUUUAAUUAUGUGUACUUAAAAUGGAUUUGGUGUCCAGGACAUGUGGAGUUGAGAUCAGGUUGAAUUAUGUGCUGAUGUUCUUCGAUAGUAUAAUUGUUCUUCUCCUUUAACAUGAUGCACCAUUGACUUAUUUUUUUAGAUGCUCAAAUACGCAGAGUAAUGACAUCCUGUAUGCGCUUGGACACCCAGCAGAUUGAAAAUAUAGAAGCAAAGAUAUCCAAUACGAGGCCACGAUGCCCGACAGAGAUGCAGCCAAUACGCGCCCAAUCUUUAUUUCUUGAUGUUGGAACAACAAAUAAGAGCAUGUUCAUGUUUAUUUAUUAUGAUUCCUGAAACACUGUCCAGAAUUCCACUGCUACAGAAUUGAAAUUCGAUAGCACAUGAACGAGGACGGAUCCAAGGUUGAGUACUGGGUGUGGAACCCCUUCAGAUCCAAGUUGGCUGCUGUUGUACUCUGUGGUGUGGACAACAUCUGGAUUGUCCGAGGAAUUACAGCUUGGGGACUUGGGAGGCGAUCGUAAAAGCGGUGUGCUACAGUGUAAUGCACUAGCAAUAUGUGAAGAUUUUUUUAAGGAGGGGGUUAAUAAACAAUCAGAAAAUUCUUUUGCCCCCUCAGAAAACUAUGUUCCGUGUUUGGCCCCUCUGGGCAUUGAUGUGAAGCUAUACAGUCGUGUAAUAUGACCAAACUCAUCACCUCGGGGUUGAUCACAUUCGUCGUGAAUAGGUGGAUAACAUGACCAUCAUCGA